UCCCAUGUGGCUCAGCUGGUAAAGAAUCCACCUGCAAUGUGGGAGACCUGGGUUCGAUCCCUGGGUUGGGAA
rnacentral:tRNA from 1 species